rnacentral:lncRNA from 1 species
UGUAAUUAAAUAUGGCUAUUGAAAAAAAUUCACCUAUUUUUGAUAACUAUUAGAUCUUGAUCCGCACGGUCAACCCUAAAUUAACGUUUUUUAUCACAUGAAAACGUUCUCACCUACCCCUUUUUGACAUAUUUUGGUUGAUUAUUCUGCACACACACUCUCACGUAGAUGAGAUGUAGAAGCCCAUGUAAGAAUUUGAAGAAGUUUGUCUUCCGACGAUAGGGCUCCCCAUAUGAGUGAAUAAACGUAAAUAAAGUUGACCACCUUGAUCGGGACCCAAACGUUAUAAAAAAUAUAUGAUUUUUCUACCAUAGCCGUACUUCACUAUACCUCUCACAUCCUACGGCCAAUUUUUCAAAAUUCUAUUUGAAAAAUAUAGUUGUUUCACAAAGAUGUACACUUGUAUUAAACCUAUUAAACAAAUUAUAGCACACCAAUGGACACAUUGGGGUUCCUAUGACUAAAAUUCACAAAAUUAAAUUUUGACUGUCUGAUGUGAUCAGUGUAAUUAAAUAUGGCUAUUGAAAAAAAUUCACCUAUUUUUAAUAACUAUUAGGUCUUGAUCCGCACGGUCAACCCUAAAUUAACGUCCCUUAUCACACGAAAACGUUCUCACCUACCCCCUUUUGACAUAUUUUGGCUGAUUAUUCCGCACACAAACUCUCACGUAGAUGAGAUGUAGCAAGCCAUGUAAAAAGUUGGGGAAGUUUACCCUUCUGACUAUAGGGCUCCCCAUAUGAGUAAAACCUAAAUAGAGUUGACUGCCUUGAUCGAAACUCAAACGUUAUCGAAAAUAUGUGAUUUUUCUACCAUAGGCGUUUUUCAUUAUACCUCUUAUAUCCUACGGCCGAUUUUUUAAAACUCUAUUUGCAAGAUAUAAUUGGUUCAUAAAGAUGUACUCUUACAUAAAACCUACUAAAUAAAUUACAUCACAAUAAUAGUCAAGUUGAGUUCUAAUGACUAAAAUUCAAAAAAUAAAAUUACCUUUAAAAAGAUUUCGAUCUCAUCAAUAAAAAUUAUAAAGAUUAUUGAGCUCUUAUAUAUAAAGAUUAUUAUUUUUUGUUUGAAAGAAAAAAAAAGAAGAAUAAUAUAGGGAAUAAAUAGAUAUAAGAAAAAAAAAACUUACUUCUCAAUUUUGGCUGAAAAUUCAAGUUUGCCGCUAAAGUUUCCUUCCCGCGCGACCUCAAAUGUCCUCCUGCCCUCUGGAGCCUCAACUCAAGCGCGCGCUGAAUGAUAGAAAACGCCGGCCCUGGCUCUGAAUCUCCCAUCCAUGGCUGCCCAACGCUCUGCCUCAACCAAACUGGAACCCCCAUCACUGUCUCGAUCUCUAUACAAUUAACAAUCCAUCGGCUCCAAUCCUCUCAAUUUGUCUUUGUAGAUUUGCCGUCAUUCCAGAUCAACUCGAACCCAAUCAACAUACCAUAGGUCGUCAUCUCAUCGCUACCCAAUUUUAUUGAAUAAGUAGUACGUGUUUUGAUUGUGUUAUGUGAUAUGGAAGUUUAAUUGUGUUAUGUGAGAUGUAUACUGGACAUGUAUGGGGAAUCAAUAGGACUUGGUGGGUUUAGUUAGAUUUGAGAAAUAUAUUGUGUAUGCGAUUCAUGCCAAAAAGGGUUACGAUUAUACCUAGAAGAUUUAGCUUGCAAGGAGGAUUAGGAACCUUAAUUUGUCUAAAACAACAAGAGCUUAGAAUGAGCAAGGACCUGUAUGCAUAUUUAGCAUCCAUAGAACUGAUUAUUAGGAACCUUAGACUUUGCUUGUGCUGCUGUAAUAUUUGAUCGGGAAACUUCUGUAACUUGAUCAUUUAGUUAGCUUUGAGCAACCAUAUCUUAUGAUUUAGACAUUUGUUUCCGAAUCUAUCUGCAUGUAUUGAAAGCUUAUACUUUAGGCUUGAUAUCUGUGUAGUUUCAUACAAUUUCAUUCAAAAUUCGUUGGUCAACUUACAGGCUGAAAGCGAAGUAUGCAUUCUGCAUAUCACCUUUUUGAGUUUUGGAGCCAGUCAACUUUUUACUAAACGCUGUACAUUUAGGUUGGUUAUUUGAAGUUGGUUUCUUCAUAAAACUUGUAGCAAACAUCCUAGAUAUUAUUCCAGAAUUUAAAUCACUUGAAAAAGAUUUUUGUAGAUUAAGUUAUGAUUUUUCAAAGUUAAGGGUCUGCAGUAGGAAAUUCUGCAGAUCAGUAUUUCUGAGUUUUUGACCCAGCUGCCUUUUUACUG